rnacentral:rRNA from 1 species
UAGGGAAUCUUGCGCAAUGGAGGAAACUCUGACGCAGCGACGCCGCGUGAGUGAUGAAGGCUUUCGGGUCGUAAAGCUCUGUUCUUAGGGAACAAGUCCUGAGGGUACCUAAGAAGAAAGGACCGGCUAACUUCGUGCCAGCAGCCGCGGUAAUACGAGGGGUCCUAGCGUUGUUCGGAAUCAUUGGGCGUAAAGCGGGUGCAGGCGGCCUGGUAAGUCAGAAGUGAAAGCCCCGGGCUUAACCUGGGAAGUGCUUUUGAUACUGCUUGGCUUGAGUGUGGAAGAGGGUAGUAGAAUUCCUGGUGUAGUGGUGAAAUACGUAGAUAUCAGGAGGAAUACCGGUGGAGAAGUCGGCUACCUGGUCCAACACUGACGCUCAGACCCGAAAGCGUGGGGAGCAAACA